rnacentral:rRNA from 1 species
GGGUAAAGUGGCGCACGGGUGAGUAACGCGUAGAUAACCUGUCUUCACGUCUGGAAUAAUACGCCGAAAGGGGUACUAAUACCGGAUAUUCUUGCUUUUCAUAAGUUUUGCAAGGAAAGGUGGCCUCUGUAUAUGCUACUGCGAGAAGAGGGGUCUGCGUACCAUUAGCUAGUAGGUGGGGUAAUGGCCUACCUAGGCAACGAUGGUUAGCGGGUCUGAGAGGAUGAUCCGCCACACUGGCACUGGAACACGGGCCAGACUCCUACGGGAGGCAGCAGUGAGGAAUAUUGCGCAAUGGGGGGAAACCCUGACGCAGCGACGCCGCGUGAGUGAGGAAGGCCUCGGUCGUAAGACUCUGUCAAAGGGAAAGGAAGUAGCAUGAUGGCGUAAUACCUGUCAUGUUUGUACGGUACCCUUAAACGGUAAGGACACCGG